rnacentral:misc_RNA from 1 species
UUCUUCCCAUGCUAAUGCGUUCAAGUUUCGACGCAUGAGAUAGUGAUAUCGGAAUUGAUCCUUCAAGUUGAUUUCCUGAUACUUGUAGAAACUCAAGAUUUGGUAGCAGGAGGCCAAUGUUUGAUGGGAGAUUUCCAGAAAGUGAAUUAUAAGGCAUGGAGAAUAUGGAAGAUAUAUUAUGGAUGGAUGGAGGGAUGAUACCUGAGAGGUUAGACCUACCAAGUCCAAUAGCUGACAAGUGAUUUAGCUGCCCCAGGGAAUCUGGAAUACUUCCACCAAAGAAAUCAUCACUUGCAGAUAAACUUUCUAGCGAGCUAAGGUUGGCGAUAGAUGAUGGAAUGCAUCUGGUCAAAUAAUUGUUGUGGAUCCAGAAUUCUUUG